rnacentral:rRNA from 1 species
UAAGACGAACCGUCCUAACGUUGUUCGGAAUCACUGGGCUUAAAGGGCGCGUAGGCGGGCCAUCAAGUCCGGGGUGAAAUACUUCGGCUUAACCGGAGAAUUGCCUUGGAUACUGGUGGUCUAGAGGGAGGUAGGGGUCUGUGGAACUUCCGGUGGAGCGGUGAAAUGCGUUGAUAUCGGAAGGAACGCCGGUGGCGAAAGCGACGGACUGGACCUCUUCUGACGCUGAGGCGCGAAAGCCAGGGGAGCAAACGGGAUUAGAUACCCCGGUAGUCCUGGCCCUAAACGAUGGGUACUAGAUUGUGGACUAGACAUGGGUUCACAGUCGAAGCAAAAGUGAUAAGUACCCCGCCUGGGGAGUAUGGUCGCAAGGCUG